rnacentral:sRNA from 1 species
GCAAGGCCCCGAAGGGACUGGCUCCCGAGG